GAACGCGAAAGGGCGCUUUUGUGCCCGAGUAGAGUGGCGCACGGGUGAGUAACACGUAGACAACCUGCCUUCGGGUUCGGGAUAACCUCUCGAAAGAAGGGCUAAUACCGGAUAACACUCUCGCUUCGCAUGGAGCGGGGUUAAAAGGGGUUUCCUGCCAGGAGAGGGGUCUGCGGGACAUUAGCUUGUUGGUGGGGUAACGGCUCACCAAGGCGAUGAUGUCUAGCGGGUCUGAGAGGAUGAUCCGCCACACUGGAACUGAGAUACGGUCCAGACUCCUACGGGAGGCAGCAGUGGGGAAUUUUGCGCAAUGGGCGAAAGCCUGACGCAGCAACGCCGCGUGGGUGAAGAAGGCCUUUGGGUCGUAAAGCCCUUUUCUGGGGAAAGAGCAAAGACGGUACCCCAGGAACAAGCACCGGCUAACUCCGUGCCAGCAGCCGCGGUAAUACGGAGGGUGCAAGCGUUGUUCGGAAUUACUGGGCGUAAAGGGCGUGUAGGCGGAUGUGCAAGCUGGGGGUGAAAGGCCAGGGCUCAACCCGGGACCAUCUCCCAGAACUGCAUAUCUAGAGAAAGUCAGAGGCAGGUGGAAUUCCUGGUGUAGAGGUGAAAUUCGUAGAGAUCAGGAGGAACACCGGCGGCGAAGGCGACCUGCUGGGGC
rnacentral:rRNA from 1 species